rnacentral:rRNA from 1 species
GAUCAUGGCUCAGGAUGAACGCUAGCUACAGGCUUAACACAUGCAAGUCGAGGGGCAGCAUUUCAGUUUGCUUGCAAACUGAAGAUGGCGACCGGCGCACGGGUGAGUAACACGUAUCCAACCUGCCGAUAACUCCGGGAUAGCCUUUCGAAAGAAAGAUUAAUACCGGAUGGCAUAUGAUUAUCGCAUGAUAAUCCUAUUAAAGAAUUUCGGUUAUCGAUGGGAGUGCGUU